rnacentral:rRNA from 1 species
GACGAACGCUGGCGGCGUGCUUAACACAUGCAAGUCGAACGGAAAGGCCCUGCUUGCAGGGUGCUCGAGUGGCGAACGGGUGAGUAACACGUGGGUGAUCUGCCCCUUACUUUGGGAUAAGCCUGGGAAACUGGGUCUAAUACUGGAUAGGACCAUGCUGUAGGUGGUGUGGUGGAAAGAUUAGUUUCGGUAAGGGAUGAGCUCGCGGCCUAUCAGCUUGUUGGUGGGGUAAUGGCCUACCAAGGCGUCGACAGGUAGCCGGCCUGAGAGGGUGGACGGCCACAUUGGGACUGAGAUACGGCCCAGACUCCUACGGGAGGCAGCAGUGGGGAAUAUUGCACAAUGGGCGCAAGCCUGAUGCAGCGACGCCGCGUGGGGGAUGACGGCCUUCGGGUUGUAAACUCCUUUCAGCCAUGACGAAGCCCUUGUGGUGACGGUAGUGGUAGAAGAAGCACCGGCUAACUACGUG